UACGUAGGGUGCGAGCGUUAAUCGGAAUUACUGGGCGUAAAGUGUGCGCAGGCGGCCGCGCAAGUCGAGUGUGAAAGCCCCGGGCUUAACUUGGGAAUUGCGCUCGAAACUACGUGGCUGGAGUGUGGCAGAGGAAGGUGGAAUUCCACGUGUAGCGGUGAAAUGCGUAGAGAUGUGGAGGAACACCAAUGGCGAAGGCAGCCUUCUGGGCCGACACUGACGCUCAUGCACGAAAGCGUGGGGAGCAAACAGG
rnacentral:rRNA from 1 species